AACGUAGGAGACAAACGUUAUCCGGAGUUACUGGGCGUAAAGGGCGUGUAGGUGGUUCUGUAAGUCUGGCGUGAAAUUUCUCGGCUUAACCGAGGCAGGUCGUCGGAUACUGCAGGGCUAGAGGACGGUAGAGGCGUGUGGAAUUCCGGGUGUAGUGGUGAAAUGCGUAGAGAUCCGGGGGAACACCAGUGGCGAAGGCGACUCUUUGGCCUGUAACUGACGCUGAGGCGCGAAAGCGUGGGGAGCAAACAGG
rnacentral:rRNA from 1 species